rnacentral:rRNA from 1 species
CCUACGGUGCGCAGCAGUCGAGAAUCAUUCACAAUGGGGGCAACCCUGAUGGUGCGACGCCGCGUGGGGGAAUGAAGGUCUUCGGAUUGUAAACCCCUGUCAUGUGGGAGCAAAUUAACAAGAUAGUACAACAAGCGGCAGAGACGGCUAUCUCUGUACCAGCAGCCGCGGUAAUACAGAGGUCGCAAGCGUGGUCCGGAAUCACUGGGCGUAAAGCGUGUGUAGGCUGUUUCGUAAGUCGUGUGUGAAAGGCGCGGGCUCAACCCGCGGACGGCACAUGAUACUGCGAGACUAGAGUAAGGGAGGGGGAAGCGGAAGUCUCGGUGUAGCAGUGAAAUGCGUAGAUAUCGAGAGGAACACUCGUGGCGAAGGCGGGUUCCUGGACAUUAACUGACGCUGAGGCACGAAGGCCAGGGGAGCGAAAGGGAUUAGAUACCCCUGUAGUC